UUCCCCAAAAUCCCCCAAAAACCUUCCUCGAAAUCCCCCAGAAAACUCCCAAAAUCCUCCAAAAUCCUUCCCCAAAAUCCCCCAAAUCCUUCCUCAAAAUACCCAAAAAAAACCUCCAAAAUCCUUCCCUAAAAUCCCCCCCAAAAAACCCCAAAAUCCCCCCAGAAAACUCAAAAUCCCUUCCUCAAAAUCCCCCCAAAAAUCCCAAAAUGCUUCCACAAAAUCCUCCAAAAUCCUUCCACCAAAAACUCCAAAAUCUCUCCCCAAAAUCCAACCCCAAACCCCCCCAAAACCCCAAAAUCCUUUCCCAAAAUCCCUCUCCCCAAAAAAACUGGCCGGGAAUGUUGGGGGAGGGGUCCUGGGGGGAUUUGGGGGCUCCUGGAGGAAUCUGGGAAGGUUCUGGA
rnacentral:lncRNA from 1 species